rnacentral:rRNA from 1 species
CCUACGGGGGGCAGCAGUAGGGAAUCUUCGGCAAUGGACGAAAGCCUGACCGAGCAACGCCGCGUGAGUGAAGAAGGUUUUCCGAUCGUAAAACUCUGUUGGUAGAGAAGAACGUUGGUGAGAGUGGAAAGCUCAUCAAGUGACGGUAACUACCCAGAAAGGUACGGCAAACUACGUGCCCGCAGCCGCGGGAAUACGUAGGUCCUGAUCGUUGUCGGGAUGUAUUGGGUGUAAGGCGAGGGCGGGUGGUUUAUUAAGUCUGGUGUAAAAGGCAGUGGCUAAACCAUUGUAUGCAUUGGAUACUGGUAGUCUUGAGUGCAGGUGAGGAGGGCGGAAUUCGAGGUGUAGCGGUGAAAUGCUUAGAUAUAUGGAGGAACACCGAUGGCGAAGGCGGCUCACUGGCCUGUCACUGACACUGAGGCUCGAAAGCGUGGGGAGCAAACAGGAUUAGAUACCCGGGUAGUC